rnacentral:rRNA from 1 species
UUUUAUGCGAUUAAUGGUGUGAAUUGCAGAAUCCCGUGACCCAUCGAGUCUUUGAACGCAAGUUGCGCCUGAUGCCAUUAGGUUGAGGGCACGUCUGCCUGGGCGUCACAUAUCGAAGCCUCUUGCCAAUUUCCUAUUGAUUGGUAUUGUGCAAGAUGAUGUUGGCCUCCCGUGAGCACCAUCGCCUCAUGGUUGGUUGAAAAUCGAGACCUUGGUAGAGUGUGCCAUGAUAAAUGGUGCAUGUGUUAAGCACGAGACCAAACAAUCAUGUGCUGCUCUAUUGAAUUUAGCCUCUUUUACCCACAUGCGUGUCUAAACGCUCGUGAUGAGACCUCAGGUCAGGCGGGGCUACCCGCUGAAUUUAAGCAUAUCAAUAAGCGGAGGAAAAGAAACUAACAAGGAUUCCCUUAGUAACGGCGAGCGAACCGGGAUAAGCCCACCAUGAGAAUCGGUCGCCCUCUGCGUUCUAAUUGUAGUUGGGGAGAAACGUCACAA